CAGUAGCCGCGGUAAUACGAAGGGUGCAAGCGUUACUCGGAAUUACUGGGCGUAAAGCGUGCGUAGGUGGUGAUUUAAGUCCGUUGUGAAAGCCCUGGGCUCAACCUGGGAAUUGCAGUGGAUACUGGGUCACUAGAGUGUGGUAGAGGAUAGUGGAAUUUCCGGUGUAGCAGUGAAAUGCGUAGAGAUCGGAAGGAACAUCUGUGGCGAAGGCGACUAUCUGGGCCAACACUGACACUGAGGCACGAAAGCGUGGGGAGCAAACAGGAUUAGAUACCCCCGUAGUCCCUGUCUCUUAUAC
rnacentral:rRNA from 1 species